UAACCUAUCCAGCAAUGGGUAGCUGAACAAUCAGAAGUCAGCAGAGGUCAUAGUACCAUUCUAACUCGAGAAAGAAUGGGAAGGAC
rfam:Bacillus sp. X1(2014), complete genome.